AGAGUUUGAUCCUGGCUCAGGAUGAACGCUAGCGGCAGGCUUAACACAUGCAAGUCGAGGGGUAUGGUAGCAAUACCAGAGACCGGCAAACGGGUGCGGAACACGUACAGAACCUACCUUUACCUGGGGCAUAGCCCGGAGAAAUCCGGAUUAACUCCCCAUAACAUAUAUGAAAGGCAUCUUUUGAAUAUUAAAAAUUU
rnacentral:rRNA from 1 species